UAUAUGUAUGUAUGAGUCAUAAAUACCUGAGGUUGCUGGUUUCAUACUCCAGCUCUGUGUAUCAGUCUGCUGUUAUUUUGGUGUGUGUGGCCUGUCUCUGUGUGUGUCAGUGAGCUGGUCUCCUGUGCCUGCUGUGCUGAUAAUCAGUGGAUGGCUGUAGCUGGCUCAGUUCAGCAGGAACAGGGGUCUGCUCUUCUCUCUGUGGCCUUCUGCUCCGAGCGAGGACUGUUCACACUACUGCUGCUCCACACUGUGAGUCACAGAUUGGGCUUAGAUAAGCAGACAUCUGUUUGUGAAACUAGCGUUUGUUAUUUGCAUUGCAGAGACGUCGAGUUUCUUUGCAGGCUAAACUUAGAAAGAUGUGUCCAAGUGACCAAGGAAACCUAAAGACAUACACACAAUACAAACAAAUACAGUUCAAUGUUUGAUCGCCAAACCACAAGAGGAACCACGGUCUGAAAUCACUUCUCAAGAAUAAUCCUCACAGAGUCACGGUCAGAGCGGCCUGCGUGCGACGCUCUACUGCCAGCAUCGACAUGUUCCUCUAAAUAUUUACUUACGAUGGAUUUGUAAUAAAUA